CCUGAGAAACCCAAAAGAUCGAAUGGGGAGAUUCAUCGUCAGCUCAUUUUGUAUAUGUAUAAGUUAUGAUGCGGGUUACUACUUGUAGUAUUGCCUGCACAUUCUUGUAUAUUUAGUUGCAAGAUGUUGUCGGCGUGCACUUCUCCCCUAGUAGAACGUCGCGACCUGUUGGGUGUCGGUCUACGGCCCAAGUGAUAGACUUUAAUGUAAUUUAAAAAGCAUUAAAGAUCCUUGGUGUUUUCUGACCGGCUACUUGGCAGUAUUCGUACGGUAUUUAGCCGCUAAAUUUAUUAAGCGUCCAUAUCCGUCACAAGCGAGGCUAAUUUACUGAUAGUACGGACCUAGUGCCGUCGUUGGUAUUGGCCAGCUGUUGGUUGUAUGGUAUUCUAGGACUGGCUAAAAUUAAUUACCGGUCGGCGAUGCUACUGCUUUGGGUACUUUCAGG
rnacentral:rRNA from 1 species